rnacentral:rRNA from 1 species
CAGUCGCCGCGGUAAUACGUAGGGUGCAAGCGCUAAUCGGAAUUACUGGGCGUAAAGCGUGCGCAGGCGGUUAUAUAAGACAGAUGUGAAAUCCCCGGGCUCAACCUGGGAACUGCAUUUGUGACUGUAUAGCUAGAGUACGGCAGAGGGGGAUGGAAUUCCGCGUGUAGCAGUGAAAUGCGUAGAUAUGCGGAGGAACACCGAUGGCGAAGGCAAUCCCCUGGGCCUGUACUGACGCUCAUGCACGAAAGCGUGGGGAGCAAACAGGAUUAGAUACCCCCGUAGUCCCUGUCUCUUAUAC